UACAAUCUUCCUCUUUUUCCCAUUCACAAGCUGAGUAUGAUCUUCUGUUAUGUCAUUGGAUGACUCCACAAUUGGUACUGCAUUUAGUGAAGCUGUUCUCAUGCAUUUGAUCACAUCGAUAACUUUCGCCUUAUUAGUCACACCGAAAACAGUGUCUGUGAUUGCUUGGAGUUGUUUAUCCGAGACCUUGUGCGACAUGAUCGCUUUAAGCUCCUGCUGGUCAUUCAAAAACCUAAGCAGAUCCAUUUGUGUUAGCAUUCGGUAACAUGACG
rnacentral:misc_RNA from 1 species